UGGAUGUAGCUCAGUGGGAGAGUGCUUGCCUAGCAUGUACAAGCCCCUGCGUUCAAUGCCCAGCAUUGCAA
rnacentral:tRNA from 1 species